AUUGAACGCUGGCGGCAUGCCUAACACAUGCAAGUCGAACGGUAGCAGGGAGCUUGCUGCUGGAUUCAGGCGCGCGGGGGUGUAAAAUGCCUAUAAGUCCGCCGUGUAGGGGGGGAUAACGUCCUAAAACGGGCUAUAAUCCCGCAUGCGCCCUGAGGGAGAAAGUGGGGGAGCUUGGGACCUCACGCUUUGAGCUGAGCCUAUGUCAGAUUAGCUAGUUGGGGGGGUAAAGGCCUCCCAAGGCGACGAUCCGUAACUGGUCUGAGAGGAUGAUCAGUCACACUGGAACUGAGACACGGCCCAGACUCCUACGGGAGGCAGCAGUGGGGAGUAUUGGACAAUGGGCGAAAGCCUGAUCCAGCAAUGCCGCGUGUAGGAAGAAGGUCUUCGGAUUGUAAAGUGCUUUAGGUCGGAAGGAAGGGCAGUAGGUUAAUACCUGGCUGUAAUGACGGUACCGAAAGAAUAAGCACCGGCUAACUUCGUG
rnacentral:rRNA from 1 species